GACAGAGGGGGCAAGCGUUGCUCGGAAUUAUUGGGCGUAAAGAGCUCGUAGGCGGUUUGGCGCGUCGUUCGUGAAAACUCACAGCUUAACUGUGAGCUUGCGGUCGAUACGGGCAGGCUAGAGUUCGGUAGGGGAGACUGGAAUUCCUGGUGCAGCGGUGAAAUGCGCAGAUAUCAGGAGGAACACCGGUGGCGAAGGCGGGUCUCUGGGCCGAUACUGACGCUGAGGAGCGAAAGCGUGGGGAGCGAACAGG
rnacentral:rRNA from 1 species